rnacentral:rRNA from 1 species
GUAGGUUGCGAGCGUUGUCCGGAUUUACUGGGCGUAAAGCGCGCGCAGGUGGUCCUGAAAGUCGAGCGUGAAAGCUCCCGGCCCAACUGGGAGAGGCCGUUCGAAACUUCAGGACUUGAAGGCGGGAGAGGCAAAUGGAAUUUCCGGUGUAGCGGUAAAAUGCGUAGAUACCGGAAGGAACACCAGUGGCGAAAGCGAUUUGCUGGCCCGCCCUUGACACUCAGGCGCGAAAGCUAGGGGAGCGACCGGGAUUAGAUACCCCGUUAGUCCUAGCCGUAAACAAUGGGCACUAGGUGUUGUCGGUAUCGACCCCGGCAGUGCCGAAGCUAACGCAUUAAGUGCCCCGCCUGGGGAGUACGACCGCAAGGUUA